UAACAGCACAUCAGUUAUAAUUUCUAUAGACCAAACCUACAUCCAAUUGAAUGUGCAUAUUUCCCAUUCCAAAAUUCUUAUGGCAUCCGUCAUGGUUUCUUCCCCCUUGUCCCUAGGUUACGUGGCCAAGUGAUGAGUCUUGAGUCUCGAGAAGGCCCGGAAGCAUUAUAUUGCCCCAGUUUAAUGUGUCCAGCCCCCAACACUGGUUGCAUCAUCAUGACAUCCUUUUCACAAAUCUCCAUACCUCCAUGAACCUGUAAACUUCAAGUUCUGAUUACCUGGAUAAUGCAAAAAAUGUUCAAACAUUAAUUAAUACAAAAACUAUGACGUUUGCAAGCCUGAUGAAGCAAAUAAAUCGACUUUCAGAAAGAGUUGUAAACAUGGGGAAAAUAACUCAUCUUAUCAUAGGAGGACAGUGUUCACCAUCGUGGUAAAUGUUGUAUGAUGAUAAAUACAUAGUAUAGCUAAAACUAAACAUGAUCACAACCUACAUGCGAUGUGGAGUGUAAAUUUGGUAGCUUCUGCAUGGUUACAGGGUGCCGAAAGGUAAAAUGUUCUGCGCAUCAGGAUAGCACAAGUAUUGGGCCACUAGUCUCACCAGAUAAUAAGCUUGCAGUAGUAAACUAAUCAGAAGGCCAUAAGGGCAAUAACGGAGACUUUGCAGAAGAAUUUGGGUCGAUUGCCUUCUGCAUUUUUUUAAUAAAAGUAUGGGUCUUUAAUUUGCUGAAAGAUCACAAGUUUCUAAUCAGGCUGGUGAAACCAAUGUACUGAAAAAAAUAACAUGUCAUUCAUUACACGUCAACAGUAUUAUUUUAUUCUCAGUCCAAAAUGUCAUCUUGGAAUGGCAACACAUGUACUCCCUCAGUUCCAAAAUGUAGGUCGUUUUAGGUUUUCUAGAUGCAUAGAUUUUGAUAUGCAUCUAAAUAUAGGGUUAUGUCUAGAUACAUAGCAAAAUCUAUGUACCUAGAAAAGCCAAAACGAUAUACAUUUUAAAACGGAGGGAGUACUUUAUAUUGGCUUAAUAUGGAUGCAGAUUCCUCCAGAUAUUCUGUUAUUGUAUAAGAGAGACCAUAUGGUUUUCAGAGUCCAAUCAUCAAACAAAAGACCAAAUAUUGGACAAUAUUGGGUUCGAACCAAUGGGCCAAUAAAUGGAUGCAAGAGUAAGUUUAAAUUGGCUAAAACGUGAACAAGGUUUAAUAAUGACUUAGCCAAUUUGCUAGGACUGGUUGUGGAAAAAAUCAACCAAUAAUAUCCUUUUUUUAAAUGAUUUUGUCUGUAGAUCUGAUGCAUAGUCGAAAUAACCAUUUCUAUUUCUAUGCCAAUAGUUGUUAAGGCCAGUAUUAAUAAAACUAGAAUAACAAAGUGGAUGAUUGGAAGAUAGAAAACACAAAAAAAUAUCAAAUCCAUCAACCACUCUAGAAAGCUCAGAAGGGCUGGAAAAAGGGAUCAAUAUUCUAGACUUCAUCAACAGGGUGAACAUACAUUUUAUAAAGAAGUGAAAAUGUCUACUUAUCAUAAAAUGCUUCCUAUGUUGUUUCAGAAUACUAGUCCUACGCUAACCUUAUCAGGCGAAAUGCUCGUAGAAUUAAAUGAUCAUAUCUUAGAAGUAUGGAUAACAGGUGAGAAACAGCAUGAAGUGCAGUACUGGAUCCUUGAUUUCAACCACUAAGCAUCAUGGAAUGACUAUUCACAAUAAAAAUGGGAAAUGCAUUAUGCAGUAGACAUGGAUAUGCUGCAGUACAAAACAAAUGCAGAAAAUGAAAAUAAUGUUGCCGACUUGCCGGAAGUCGGACCUGGGUCUCUUGGGUGAGAAUCGAGUAACAAGAAUAUUAACCACCUAGACUGCAACAGAUCCUCUCUUGCAGAGCAUUCACAACCAAUUGUAUCAAAGACACCCAGUUCCUCAC
rnacentral:lncRNA from 1 species